AGGGGCGUGGUUCAAUUGGUAGAGCACCGGUCUCCAAAACCGGGUGUUGGGAGUUCGAGUCUCUCCGCCCCUGCCA
rnacentral:tRNA from 1 species